CUCUGAGGCCCGCCUACUUCCUGGUCGGCUCACUUCCCCCUCGCCGCUGCUGGUGCAGAGUCAGAUUGUCGGACACCGUACCUACAUAGCAGCUCGCGGGAAUCCCCGUUUUGACAUGCUUGGGUUAUCGGCAGCCACUGUCUGCCACCGCAGCUUGCUUAACAUGAAGCUCCUCUCUCCUCUCCCACAUGUGUUCUGAUGCGGCCGAUCGGUGCUGGAAGCUUAUGGUGGCGGUCCUGGUAUCCUGGUGGUGGUGUCCCCCUUCUUGUGUGUCGUGCAACCCCUGGUCUUCGUUUUCGCCUUUUGUGUGUUUGUGCGUGUGAGUGUCACGAGUGACUGGGGUGCUUCUCACCUAUUGCCCCAGCACCCCCCCCACUGGUAAGCUUCAGCCCUGUCACCAUCCCUCCUUCACUUCCUGUCCUGAAUAUAUGGUAUUUUUUUACAAUAGAUAUUUUUAUUGAAUGUAAUAAAAAACAUUAUAAUUUACCAGAACCACGUCUCUUGCCUCAAGUAGAACGAACCUGAGUGCCUUGUGUUGGUACCAAAUUAACUAUUUCCCUGGGUGAAAUUCCCAGGGUGGCGUUGUCUGGCUCUUUUGGGCUGUUUCCAAACUUAACAGCUGUACCUUAUCCCAUUGUACGUGUCCGCCCGCCACAUAAUGUUAUCAAUCCCAUUGACAAUAAACCCAAAGCUACUUAAACAUGUUUGAAAUGAUUAAUAUAUAUAAUAAAUGAAUAAUUCCACUUUGCUGUGCCGCUGCCAAAUGACUUGCCUCACCACAAAGGGUCCACCAAGUGCUCAACAAAAUCCAGACUUUUGUGUGUCCUGGCUCCAGUACAGUCAUCUGUUUGCACUGUACCUCUGAACCCUCUUUAGCACUCAUUGCUUCAAUUUGUUGCAUUUCAAUGUUGCACUUGAAACAUUUAAUCUUAUUUGAUGAAGCUGAUGUGCUUGCAUGAUUUUUUUCAGUUUUAGGUUGUCUCCAUAUGGCUGAAUGCACUUUGUGGCUUUGGAUAAAUAAUUUGACCUCUUUAACAAAACAAAACUAUAUUUUGUCGACCUGUUUUUAAAGAUUUGUAUCUCCAAUAUGGGUUUUGGAGUCGAGUGCUUCAAGAAGUUAGAACGUGUUAAGAGAUGGCAGCUUUUGGACUCUUUGUGAGUUUAUUAUUUGGAUGAUUACUGCAGCAUAACACCAGCCUAAAGCAGAGGUCACACCAUAAAGUGGCAUUUAAACAGGAAGCUCUUGCCCUACAGGAGCUGGUGAGCUAACCGUUAACAAGCUAGCCAGCCCAGCCAGGCUAACGCCAGUCACAAUAGCUCCCAAAGCUGUUUUCUCUUGUCUUCCCACUUUUCUGUUUAAAUCCCCCUGACAAUUCAUUCAAUGAAGUUAUUGAAGAGGGAAAAUAAAGCUCUUCAAUGAGAUGGUCAGUUAGCAAACUAGCUUAGCUUGUUUGCUACCAUGACAAUAAGUUCACUCAGUUUGUUCAGAAGAUGUUCUUGUACCACCUUAUAAAAUUCUGCAAGUCAUUGUCCUUUUUGCAAAAAACACAUUAUGCUCCAACAGAGGAGGUCCAAUAAAAGAACGGUGCAACACAGCUAAUAAGCUAUAUUAGCUUCAUUACUUUUGGAUUCUCCAGCUCCCCGUCGCCUCAGAGGUCAACACUGUCAAGAUGGACCGCGAUUGGACACCGCAAGAUUUCGUCAUUUCAAAUCCUGGUCUGUCCAUGCAUGAAUGAAGGUAUCAGGACUGCAGCCAACUAGCAGAAUAAAAACUAUCCACAGCAAAACAAAGAUACCAUUAGCUUACCCAUACCAUACCCAUUAGCUUGUUUCUGUGUUCUGUCAACGUUUAAAGAGCUGGCCGACUGAUGCUUUAAGCCAAGUUUACAGUAUGUGUGCGUGCCAUAUAGUGUGGUCUUCGGCGGGUGAGGUGCUGGAAAUAAUUACAGAGCCUUCAGGAAGAAUAAAGGUCUACAUUUAAUCAAACGCAGGGGGGAAGGCGAGGUGAUAAAUUUGACAGUGUGUCCUUCAACACUUAGAUGAGGUGGCUAAUGAACUGUGCCAAAGAAAGUUUACUAUCAAAGAAAAUAAGCAAAUAUUCACAUUUGAGAAGCCUGAGGUUUUGGCAUUUUUGCUCCAACAUAACGAGUUUGGCAACAAUCACCAUUCAAAAGAACACAUGAUAAACAGCUUCAGUGGCUGGAUGCCACACAGUCCUUUUCCUGGAAGUCAUGAAGCUGAUAUCUGGGAAAUGGAUGCAGUUUUUGCUUAAGUGAAAACAGUGCCGUGUCAACAAGAGGUGCGAGGGGCAGUAGUAAUGAUCCGGGUGGUAAAGGAUGUUUUUGUAGCCGUGUAAGUGGCCGAUUCAACUCGGAGGGAAAAAGGGGCAGUUCGACUUAAAUGCACAAUUAACCUGUCCCUCUCUUCGCCAUUUUUUUUUAUCUUUGAGGCAUUGCCUCUAAACACCAUGACGCUCUCUGACACCCACUUAAUCUGUACACAUAGCCAGAUGUCACCACACAGCAGGUACCAAGGGAAGUAAGAAUGAGAACAAAACACACAAAAAAAACAGGAAACUGAGCAGCUGGUUGAGAUAAUCACAUCUGUCUUUCAACAGACACAUGUCAUGUUACGUGCUCCCGAAUGCAAGUCAUAAACAUCACGAUGAGAUACGGUAAAACAUCAUGUGCGUGAAACCACAGAAACAUUUAAAGUUAGAUGUGUAAGUGCUGUAUAACAGGCGUUAAACACAUUUCAUGUAAGUGUUUGUCCAGUGUCAUUUAGUGUUGUCUGUGUUACUCUUGCUGUCAGAGAAUCCAUGCCAUAGCCCUAUGUCACUAUUGAGUGUUUUUCUUUGUUCGUGUCAAUGCCACGUUCCAUGUAAGAGAGUUUCUAAUGUUGUCUUUGUCUGUAGUCAUGCCACAUUUCUGGUAAAUGUUUGUCCCGUGUCUUUAGUGUUUGUUAGCCCUGCUAUGCCUCUUAAAAGUGUAUUAAAAUUGUCCUUGUUCCCAAGCCAUGCCCAGUUUAUGAUAUUGUUUCUUUAGUGUUGUCUACGUCUCUAAUCAAGCCACGUUCCUUGUGUGUGUUUCUUGUGAGCUGUCUUAGUAUUUAACCACAUCAUGUUUCUAGUAUGUGCUUGUCUAGUGUUGUCUUUUGUC